rnacentral:rRNA from 1 species
GGGGAAUAUUGCGCAAUGGGGGCAACCCUGACGCAGCAACGCCGCGUGCGGGACGAAGGCCUUCGGGUUGUAAACCGCUUUCAGCAGGGAAGAACCAUGACGGUACCUGCAGAAGACGCCCCGGCUAACUACGUGCCAGCAGCCGCGGUAAUACGUAGGGGGCGAGCGUUAUCCGGAUUCAUUGGGCGUAAAGCGCGCGUAGGCGGCCCGCUAAGCGGGACCUCUAACCUGGGGGCUCAACCUCCAGCCGGGUCCCGAACUGGCGAGCUCGAGUGCGGUAGGGGCAGGCGGAAUUCCCGGUGUAGCGGUGGAAUGCGCAGAUAUCGGGAAGAACACCGAUGGCGAAGGCAGCCUGCUGGGCCGACACUGACGCUGAGGCGCGAAAGCUAGGGGAGCGAACA